rnacentral:rRNA from 1 species
UACGAGGGGGGCGAGCGUUGUUCGGAAUUAUUGGGCGUAAAGGGUGCGUAGGCGGGUUUUUAAGUCAGAGGUGAAAUCCUGGAGCUCAACUCCAGAACUGCCUUUGAUACUGAAAGUCUUGAGUAUGGGAGAGGUGAGUGGAACUGCGAGUGUAGAGGUGAAAUUCGUAGAUAUUCGCAAGAACACCAGUGGCGAAGGCGGCUCACUGGCCCAUAACUGACGCUGAGGCACGAAAGCGUGGGGAGCAAACAGG